UGCUUUACCAUUUUUCUUUUAAGUGUAUGUAUAUGUAUGCUUAUACUAUUAUUAUGUGAGGUUACUUCUGAUCCAAGAAUGUCAUUUCUUAGAUGUAUCCCUGCUAUUUCAUUUGGUUUUUGUACCCUUCUUCCUCAUGCUAACAUUGUAUAAUAAUCCCUCACUGUAUGGUGUCUGAAAAUUCUGCGCUUUUUUAACUCUUUCCAAAACGAUUUGAUUUUUGUGAUACCUAUCAUAUUGAGAUAAUGCUAGCUUUUACAAUUGUACUCAGCUCCUAUACGUAGAAGUCCAAUCUUUUGCUUUUAUUUACAGUAGCCUUUGCCAUACUAUAAGCUAUUAUUAAGAUGUUUGUUUGCCUUGGUUUCCCAUUUUUGAUUGAGGCGCAUCCUUUUCUUUGUGUGACUGAAAAGUUCUAGGUUCUGGAUGUUCAUUAAUUUUAUUUUCAUUUACUUGGUGCAGAUUGAGAAAUUUA
rnacentral:misc_RNA from 1 species